UACGUAGGGUGCAAGCGUUAUCCGGAAUUAUUGGGCGUAAAGAGCUCGUAGGCGGUUUGUCGCGUCUGCUGUGAAAACUGGAGGCUCAACCUCCAGCCUGCAGUGGGUACGGGCAGACUAGAGUGCGGUAGGGGAGAUUGGAAUUCCUGGUGUAGCGGUGGAAUGCGUAGAUAUCCGGAGGAACACCAGUGGCGAAAGCGGCCACCUGGACUGCACCUGACGCUGACACGCGAAAGCUAGGGGAGCGAACGGG
rnacentral:rRNA from 1 species